rnacentral:rRNA from 1 species
UACGUAGGGGGCAAGCGUUGUCCGGAUUUACUGGGCGUAAAGAGCGUGUAGGCGGCCAAACAGGUCCGUUGUGAAAACUGGAGGCUCAACUUCCAGACGUCGACGGAAACCGUGUGGCUAGAGUCCGGAAGAGGAGAGUGGAAUUCCUGGUGUAGCGGUGAAAUGCGCAGAUAUCAGGAGGAACACCGACGGCGAAGGCAGCACUCUGGGCCGGUGACUGACGCUGAGGAAGCGAAAGACGUGGGGAGCAAACAGG